rnacentral:rRNA from 1 species
AACGUAGGUGGCGAGCGUUAUCCGGAUUUACUGGGCGUAAAGGGUGUGCAGGCGGGCUGUUAAGUGGUGCAUGAAAUCUCCGCGCUUAACGUGGAGAGGCUGUGCCAGACUGGCAGUCUAGAGUACGAGAGAGGGUUGUGGAAUUCCGGGUGUAGUGGUGAAAUGCGUAGAGAUCCGGAGGAACACCAGAGGCGAAGGCGGCAACCUGGCGUCGGUAACUGACGCUCAUACACGACAGGCAUGGGGGAAGCGAAACGGG